GACGAAGGGGGCUAGCGUUGUUCGGAAUUACUGGGCGUAAAGCGAGUGUAGGUGGUUGUCCAAGUUGGAUGUGAAAGCCUUGAGCUCAACUCAAGAAAUGCAUUCAGGACUGGGCGGCUAGAGGACCGGAGAGGAUAGUGGAAUUCCCAGUGUAGUGGUGAAAUGCGUAGAUAUCGGAAGGAACAUCAGUGGCGAAAGCGGCUUCCUGGACCAGUACCGACGUUCAGGCACGAAAGCGUGGGGAGCAAACAGG
rnacentral:rRNA from 1 species